CAGGCAAAUAUUUGAUGGACCAAUCCAAGGGUGACCAGCUGCUUCUCACACCCAGCAGAUAAUUACUUAAAGGACCAAGACAGCGUAAUAUGUCCUCGGUACAAAGCCAAGUGUGAUCAGUUCCUUCUAACAAACAGCAGGUUCCGACCCACACUUUUCAUUCA